rnacentral:rRNA from 1 species
AUGCCUCCUUCUCUCUUCCAGAACAAAGACAAAAGGGAAAAAUAUAUCAAUGUGCCUAUUGCCAACUUCGAUGAGAUGGAGUUCAUAUUUCAGGAUAAGCAUGCUACCGGAGAGUUCAUGGUCCUUCAAACACCCUAUGACCGUGUUCAUGCUCAUGACAAGGAUUUUAUUUGUGACAUCGAGAAGAAUGCGAUUCAUGUUGAUCCUGUAACACAAUAUGAUUCAUAUCAUCUUCCUUAUGACACUAAUAAUGAAAGCUCAUCUUCGAAGUGUCCUAGAGGUGGCAUACGCGAUAAAGGUAAGAGGAUGAAGUGUGAUGAGAGUGUAGUCCGAGACAUGACGCGGUCUCUGCAUGAUAUGUCGGAUACUAUGUGUUUCACACAUGUGACCAACCUGAAUGAGAAUUUAUUCAAAAUAAUUGCUGACAUGGAAGAAUACCCUCUCUUCAUCCGACUUGCACUACACACAUCUUUGGCCACCAAUGAACAAGUCGCCUCCAUGUUGAAAGGGAGGCCGAUGGCUGCUAUUCAAGAGUUCGUGUGGCGUUGGGUCGGUGAUAACUUUUCUGAACACGUUCGUUUUCCUCCUAACAUGUGA